rnacentral:piRNA from 1 species
AUGGAUGGAAAAGUGAAUAUUAUAUAUC